rnacentral:rRNA from 1 species
GAUGAACGCUGGCGGCGUGCCUAACACAUGCAAGUCGAACGAAGCUUGACGGAUGAUUUCUUCGGAAUGAAACCAGAUAUGACUUAGUGGCGGACGGGUGAGUAACACGUGAGCAACCUGCCUUUCAGAGGGGGAUAACGGCUGGAAACGGUCGCUAAUACCGCCUGAUGUGUUCGGAUGGCAUCAUCUGAACAUCAAAGAUUUAUCGCUGAAAGAUGGGCUCGCGUCUGAUUAGAUAGUUGGUGGGGUAACGGCCUACCAAGUCUACGAUCAGUAGCCGGACUGAGAGGUUGAACGGCCACAUUGGGACUGAGAUACGGCCCAGACUCCUACGGGAGGCAGCAGUGGGGAAUAUUGCACAAUGGGGGAAACCCUGAUGCAGCAACGCCGCGUGAAGGAUGACGUUUUUCGGAUUGUAAACUUCUUUUCUUAGCGACGAAGACAGUGACGUUAGCUAAUGAAUAAGCAUCGGCUAACUACGUG